GCGCUUCCUUUGGCAGCACACAUACUAAAAUUGGAAUAAGUGAAUAUUAGCAUGGCCCCUGCACAAUGAUAUGCAAAUUCAUGAAAUGUUCCAUAUUUUU
ensembl:snRNA U6 U6 spliceosomal RNA